rnacentral:tRNA from 1 species
GCGCCCGUAGCUCAAUUGGAUAGAGCGGCGGACUUCGGAUCCGCAGGUUGGGGGUUCGAGCCCUCCCGGGCGUA